UGAAUACGAGAUGCUACGGCGUCGAAGCAGUCUAUGUCAUACUUCCAAGAAAAGCUUGCACUGUCAUAAACAAAUAAUGCCUGUACCAUAACCGACACAGGUGGGUAGGUAGAGUAUACUAAGGGGCGCGAGAUAACUCUCUCUAAGGAACUCGGCAAAAUGACUCCGUAACUUCGGGAGAAGGAGUGCCUUAUUUAUAAGGUUGCAAUAACAAGAUCCAAGCAACUGUUUACCAAAAACACAGGUCUCCGCUAAGUCGUAAGACGAUGUAUGGGGGCUGACGCCUGCCCAGUGCCAGAAGGUUAAAGAAGUUGGUUAGCAUCCGCGAAGCUGAUAACUGAAGCCCUGGUGAACGGCGGCCGUAACAAUAACGGUCCUAAGGUAGCGAAAUUCCUUGUCGGGUGAGUUCCGACCCGCACGAAGGGCGUAAUGAUUUGGAUACUGUCUCGGAGAGGGGCUCGGUGAAAUAGACUUGUCUGUGAAGAUGCGGACUACCUGCACCAGGACAGAAAGACCCUAUGAAGCUUUACUGUAACCUGAAAUUGAAAUUGGACUUUACUUGCGCAGUAUAGGUGGGAGGCGUUGAGAAUAUUCUUGCGGGAUUAUUGGAGCCAUCAGUGAGAUACCACUCUUGUAAUGUUAGAUUUCUAACUUUGUAUCAUUAUCUGGUCAAAGAACAGUUUCAGGCGGGCAGUUUGACUGGGGCGGUCGCCUCCUAAACGGUAACGGAGGCGCACAAAGGUUUCCUCUGAACGGGUAGAAAUCGUAUCUAGAGUGUAAAGGCAUAAGGAAGCUUGACUGUGAGACCUACAAGUCGAGCAGGGACGAAAGUCGGUCUUAGUGAUCUGACGGUGCUGAGUGGAAAGGCCGUCACUCAACGGAUAAAAGUUACUCUAGGAUAACAGGCUGAUCUCCCCCAAGAGUUCACAUCGACGGGGAGGUUUGGCACCUCGAUGUCGGCUCAUCGCAUCCUGGGGCGGUAGUACGUCCCAAGGGUUGGGCUGUUCGCCCAUGAAAGCGGUACGCGAGCUGGGUUCAGAACGUCGUGAGACAGUUCGGUCCAUAUCCGGUGUAGGCGUUAGAAUAUUGAGAGGAGCCUUCUUUAGUACGAGAGGACCGAGAAGGACAUACCUCUGGUGUACCAGUUAUCGUGCCAACGGUAAACGCUGGGUAGCUAUGUGUGGAGUGGAUAACCGCUGAAAGCAUCUAAGUGGGAAGCCCACCUCAAGAUAAG
rnacentral:rRNA from 1 species